ensembl:piRNA 21ur-14312 ncRNA
UUCUUAGAGCCUUCACAAUAG